CAAGGAAUUUUCGGCAAUGGGCGCAAGCCUGACCGAGCAACGCCGCGUGGAGGAUGACGGCUUUCGGGUUGUAAACUCCUUUUCGGUGGGACGAUAAUGACGGUACCACCGGAAUCAGGCCCGGCUAACUACGUGCCAGCAGCCGCGGUAAUACGUAGGGGUCGAGCGUUGUCCGGACUUACUGGGCGUAAAGCGUGGGUAGGUGGAUCGUGAUGUGCCGUGUGAAAGCGCCGCGCUUCUCGCGGCGAGGUCGCGGUAGACACACGAUCUAGAGGCACGGAGAGGGGCGUAGAAUUCCCGGUGUAGUGGUGAAAUGCGUAGAUAUCCGGGAGGAAUACCAGUGGCGCAAGCGGCGCCCUGGCCGUGACCUGACACUGAGCCACGACGGCGUGGGGAGCAAACGGGAUUAGAUACCCCCGGUAGUCCACGGCAGUAAACGAUGCAUACCCGGGUGUUGGAUUGGCGUCAAGCCCGUUCAGUGCCUGAGCUUACGCG
rnacentral:rRNA from 1 species